UGCAUUAUAGCCUUUUACCUUUUAAAAAAUGAAGUGAGUCAGAUUUUGGAGUUUGGUCUCAUUUCCUCUGUUUUAUAAGUCGCUGUGAACAUACAAUAGCAUCAUCAGAAUCAAGAAUGAAAGGAAAUGUUGCUUUAUAAAGUGGCAGACCUCGUGACUGAUAUAAAAAUUAGUUUCACUUCAUGAACACUUUGUGAUUGCAAUGUCAGCAUUUUUGUAAUCUGUGUGGCAUCUUGGUUCAUGAUUCUAAUAAUCUUGUUUAAUUUCUCAAAAAAAAACAAAACAACAACUAUUCACACUUAUCAUGCAAUGCUAAAAUGUUACUAUUUGUGUUAUGGUACAGUAUUGUUAUUUUUAAGAAAGUUUACAAAUAUUUAGCACACUGCAUAGUGGAAAGUACAAAAUUACAAAUUGUGUAUGAUUUAACUCACGGAGGAACUGGGCAUCAGUUGUUCUUUCACUUUCUGUGCUGUGUUGUUGAUAACUCAGCAUAUAAUGCCAACAAGUCACAUGCAUUCAAGGCUAUGGCUUUAUUUUAAUGGGGGGAGGGUUAUGUGGAGUGUGGUUCGGGUGGGAAGCGUGUAAUCUGCAAUCGCUGACACGAUAGCUUUUUUUGCGCAGUUUUUUUUUUUUUUUCGCUUUCACUUUCGAAAUCGAUCACGUUCAGUAGGAGGAGAGAGGAGGGGAAGGGAUGCAAGGCCCUCAUUUGGGGGGCAUUAACAUAUAAUGAUCCAUUAAUAUAGAUAGAUGCAGGGCAACAAAAUAAUUCAACUCAAAGUUCACAUUUAUAAACGAUAUUCUUUUUGAAUGCAUAACAACAUACAGAUUUAUAUAAGUCACAAAGUUUGUGGACACUGGACUAGAAAAUGAAUCAGAUAAACAUGAACCUAUAUUUAAAAAGUUUUUUUUUCUCUCUCUCUCUCAUAGUACAAGUAAGUCUGUGUUCCUUUAUUCGUCAGUGUGGGAAGCGUGUUUGCAUCCCUUUGUGUGUAAUCAUGUCCACCUUUGGAUCAGCAAGCAGAUUUUCCACAGCAGUCACAAAUUCCCACAUAGAUAAUUGGCAAGACGAUGAAGACACAGCUCACACCAUAACCAUAUAUCUGCAGGAAAAAAUAAAAUGAUAUUGAUUGAGG
rnacentral:lncRNA from 1 species